rnacentral:lncRNA from 1 species
UGAUUGAGCCCCCCCAGGUGCCCGACAUUUUAUUUUUCAAUUGCAGAGUUAGAUUUUAGGCUUGGUUUGCAAGGGUUUUGACUGAGUACUCGCAAAAGACAUACAGUUAUUUGUCAAAGGAGCUUUCUGGCUCACCUGUAUCUUGAACUGAAUAUUUAAAGCUAUUGGUUUCCCAGGCGUUCCCCCCAAGUUCUCGAGCAGGUACGGGAGCCUCCAAUCCACCUGCGGUCCCCCCACUCAUGAUCCCACCAAUGUUCCGACAGAGCCCUGCAGGGACGCAGCACGGUGUCCGGGGCGGCCGUGGGGGUCUGUCAGCCAGUGGGUGCGUGAUGGAGAAGAAUCAGGAGUGGGCAUCCUUGUCGUUACAAACCACUCAGCUCCGCCAGUGUUGCUGCUGAGUGGUGGGUGACUUUCCCGGGUUAGUCUGAGACGACAGAUUGAAACACUAGACUGUGAGGAGGCGUUUGCCACCAGGCUCCUGCCAAGCCGUCACUCCCAGCUGUGGCCUCUUUCGUGGCCCCUCCAUUUUGCUUGGAGCCUCUCACGACCAAAAUGUGUUCUGAAGUUAACAAAAUGUGUAAAAACGUCUCGCCUCCUUCAGGAAGGGAAGCACGCGGCGACCCUUCUAACCGACCGUGUAGGCAGCGCAAAGGAUAUUUUUCAAGGAAAAAAGGUACGACAACUGAGUGUCGUAUCAAGCUUCCCUGAUUAAUCUUCACUCCCAUCCCCGGGGAGACGCUUUCUCCAACAUUUCAGUACAGGUGGCGCCUUGGAUUUUCCCCGCUACCGAGCAAGCAAGCUCCGAGAGCUGACACCGUCAUCCUUGGUAACAUCCAAAUGACACCUGAUGCGGAUGGGGCCGCGGUCAGGACAGGAAGGAGCGGGGAGCCCCUGGGCUGUGUGACACCCUCCCGAGACGCGCAACAGCAAAAAGUAACACCCUCUUGCCUUGUGUUGCAAACGUUUUCCUCAGGGAGGCGCAUCACACGUGUGUCCUGUAACUCCCCAUAACAUCAUUUCUCACGGCUGGGCACUGUGGGCAAGCGUCGCCGUGGGUCUCCUGUUUUCUUCAAUUCCUCUCCUGAGUGGAUGCACUUAGUGUUUCUAUUUUCUACUGCAACCGUCCUGCUUUGAGCUCGCUGGUGGUGGUCACGUGAUCCACCCCGCAGAAGGCUGGCUGUCAGGGGUCGGGACUGUCCCCUGUGGCCGAGCAUGGGGGGGGCCAGCUGGGGUGCCAUCGGCUCUCUCCACGAGGGCCAGCCGGCGGUCUCCUGCUGAUUCACUUUGUCAUGUGUGGGGUGGAAUUUUUCGUAUAUUAAUGCCCAUUAGGAUUUUCUUAAAAAUCUUUUGUGAACUGACUCUGUUUUUAUAUACUUGCCUGGUUUCAGCUGCAAACUUUAUUUUACUAUGCUUUCCCACAUGAAGUACCGUUUUGUUUUCAUUUACUGAAACCCAUCAAAUUGAUUUUUCUGCAUUUGGUGAUAUGCUUAGAAAUCUCUCCCCUAUUCUAGGUUCAUAUAAAUCUUCACAUGUAUUUCUUGUAUCAUUUUACACCCUUACUGGGCUACAUUUAAAACUUUAAGUUAGGUUGGGGCACCUGGGUGGCUCAGUCGGUUGAGUGCCCGCCCGACUUUUGGUUUCGGCUCAGGUC